CUGAUGUCAAAUACAACUAUUGAUAUAAAUUGAAAAAUGAAGGGAAGUUUAGAAAAUCUGAAUCUGAUGAAGGGAGGCGUUAAAAACAGUUUUCGCCUGCAGCUCAAAUCACUCUUCGUCCGCCUCUGUGUACAGCGUAAAGGUACAACCUACAGGGUUUGUUUGUUUGUUUGUUUAUUUUAUGUUUUGUUUUAGUGUUUCUGAUAAGUAGUUCUUUCUGUAACAUGCUCACCGCGAGAGACGUUGGAAUCAUGUUUUUGGUACAAUGACUGCUGUGACUAGUUUUUUUUCGAAAGUUUUUGAUCAAAUGAUAUGCGUAAAUAAAUAUGCAUUUACUUUUCUAAAAUAUAAUGUUUGUCUACACCAACAGAAAUAAUUUUUAUCUAUCGCGAGAACAAGUGCAUAACCUUCUGAGACAGGAGCUGCGUGGCCGCAAGGUUUUAGAGUCUGCUUUGUCAAGCUUUGUCGGUCGAUAUCAAAAAUGAAUAAACAUGGGUUUAUUCUCAGGUUCCCCCAUCACUUACUUUUUCUUUACGUUCAAUUCUAUAAUACCUUUGUGUGAAUUUCUCUUAACAAAAAUAUAACUUGAUUUUAGUUGAAAAGUAUUGCAGUUUUAGAAAUAUCUUGCAUUCAUUCCUAGGGUCCAAUGAAAAACAAUAAGAAAGCAAACUAUUUUACUACCGGAAACACCCGACUUUGCAGUCUUCAUGUUAAUUACGAGCGAGAUCUGUACGCGGCCGUAGUCACAGGAAGCUGAGGUCUAUACCGGGUGCGCUUGAAGCUUCCAAUGCCGAACUUGAGUGAAACAUACCAGCACGAGAGCAUGAAAGAGAGACUGCUGCUGCUGGACUACUGCUGCUGUUGGGACCACUGUUGCUGCUGGGACUAUUGCUACUGCUGCUGGGACUAUUGCUACUGCUGCUGGGACUGCUGCCGAGUUGUUGCCUCCAAGCAGUUCUGUGGAAACUCUAGGUACAACUAUUACUACAUGGUCCAACGAUCAACUGUAAAGCUCAGAAAUAUUCAAAGGGAUCGGUAAACUUGCUUCAGCGGGAGAACCUGGACUGAUUCGAAAAAUUAAGCGAUUGCGACAUCGAUCGGGCAAGCAAGCCUACACAAUCGGAACGCUGCAUUCAUACACAUAUCCUGUUGUUACCAGAAAAUGAUUUAUUUAAAGAACAAACAAAAUAAAAUUCAAUGUAAUCUAAUGUACGCUUUUCCAAAUGAUAGAAUGAUCAAAAUAAACAAAAAGAAUAAAAACUCAAAUUAUUGUAAACUUUUUUUUUUAAAUGAUUACAAUACCCUUGCUAACAAGUCAAGCGUAGUAGUCAAGUUUAUUCACUUUGCUCGUGUACCGUCAGUGUUUGACGGUAGGUUUGGUUUCUCUUGCUCCAGUCAUAUAUAUAAAGUUUAUGUACGAAUUAGAAUAACAGAGUUCAGCUAUUCUCACUGCUUUCGGGCAGUGUCCAAGCUGUGACGCGAAUGCAAAAAAAAACGAAAAUAUUUCACUGCCACAUAGUCACAUCUUCGCAAGUUGCUGCCAUGCACUCUCCGGAAAGCACAAAAUAUCGUCGGCAACGAUAUUUUUCAUUCGCACGGCGACAACACGGCACUGUCCCGGACAUUGCACAGCGGCUUGGUGUGAAUUCGUUCGAAAUAGCACUGUAUUAAUAAUUAGAGCAGGGGCGACUCGUCCAUAGGUGCAACCUGUGCAUUGCACAUGGGAACGCCUUGCAAAAAAUAUAUCUAAAUCGCAAAUUUAUAUUAAUAUUUUAUUGGUUUUUAGUUUCACUUUCAAAUAGUAACAAAUAGAAUGACUUGCGUAAUUAUGCGAACAUGAUUGUGAUUACUUCCUCAAACUGCGAUUUUCAAAAUUUGUAGUUGAACAGGUAGGUUCAAAAGCCAUGAGUCGCCCCUGAAUUAGAGACACCUCACCACUUCGGCUGUCGCACCUGAAUAUUAGACUGGGACAUGGUAAUAUGGGAAAAAAGCGAUGGUGUUAUUUUUUCGCUCCCAUGCACUUUUCGUGUUCCUUAUGGGUCCUACAAUAACUGUGUAACUUUUCAGAUCGAUCGGUGAAACGCCCGAUUUGCGCCGGAUUUUCAAAGCUUCCAUACGAUUUUAUA